GUGCUGCUCUGGGUGACUCAGUCCAGUCCAGAGAGCCUGAAGUUUCUAAAUCAGAAGGAAACACUGUGUCGCUCAGUUGUUCUUAUGAUACCAGCUCUAGUAAUGUCUAUCUGUACUGGUACCGGCAGUAUCCGCACCAAGCCCCGCAGUACAUUCUCUGGAGUGGAGCGAAGUCCUACAGAGAUCUCAGUGACACCGCAGCUUUCGCCCAGGAGAGGUUUUCUUCCCAGACUGCUGACAGCUCCACAGUUCUGAACAUCACAGCCCUGGAGCUGGCGGACACAGCGGUGUAUCUCUGCACCCUGCGUCUGGCACAGUGA